rnacentral:rRNA from 1 species
GAUGAACGCUAGCUACAGGCUUAACACAUGCAAGUCGAGGGGAAACGACAUCGAAAGCUUGCUUUUGAUGGGCGUCGACCGGCGCACGGGUGAGUAACGCGUAUCCAACCUGCCCACCACUUGGGGAUAACUUUGCGAAAGUAAGACUAAUACCCAAUGACGUCUCUAGAAAACAUCUGAAAGAGAUUAAAGAUUUAUCGGUGAUGGAUGGGGAUGCGUCUGAUUAGCUUGUUGGCGGGGUAACGGCCCACCAAGGCGACGAUCAGUAGGGGUUCUGAGAGGAAGGUCCCCCACAUUGGAACUGAGACACGGUCCAAACUCCUACGGGAGGCAGCAGUGAGGAAUAUUGGUCAAUGGACGAGAGUCUGAACCAGCCAAGUAGCGUGCAGAAUGACGGCCCUAUGGGUUGUAAACUGCUUUUAUAAGGGAAUAAAGUGAGAGUCGUGACUCUUUUUGCAUGUACCUUAUGAAUAAGGACCGGCUAAUUCCGUGCCAGCCGCCGCCGUAA